rnacentral:sRNA from 12 species
UGCCUAAACCUAUCGGAUAACCGUUGGCAUGGCAUCAAAUCUCAAGACAAUACUGAACCCCGUGUUCAGCUACUUGUCUUGAGUCAUGCAUCGAAAGGUGCGUGGGGCCGUAAGGCUC